UUGGCCACGUUCUUUUCGGCAUGGAGAUUAAGAAAGAGAUAGUUAGUGGAGAUUAAGUGUGGUCCCUACAAUUUAAUGUAUUUUGUAAAAUUUAAUUAAAUUAUUAAUUAAGUCUUUCUUGAACCUAAAUAUGUGUCUUCUUCUCCAUUUUCCGGCCGACAGCGACGCCGGCGCCGGCGACUGCGACGCCGGCGAUGGCGACAAUCGCCCUAAAUUUUCUGCCUAUGCUUUGUCAAAAACCAAAUCAACCCCAAAAAAUCAAAACCAAAUCAACCCCAAUUUCCUCUGCUGAAAUGGAAAUUUUAUUGAAAAAAAAAAAGAAAGGAAAAAACCUUGAAAGCACAGGCGCAAACAUGGAGAGGAGCCUCAAAAAAGAAAGCCCAAAAAAAUGGAAAAAACAACAAAACCCUCGCAAAAAGGGAGCAAAACGGAGGGACACAAGAACCUACAAGCCUUAAGAUAACAUAAGAUCGUCCUCGUCAAAAGAGUCUUCAUCG
rnacentral:lncRNA from 1 species